rnacentral:rRNA from 1 species
GGACAAUGGGCGCAAGCCUGAUCCAGCCAUGCCGCGUGGGUGAAGAAGGCCCUAGGGGUUGUAAACCCCCUUUCAGCGGGGAAGAUAAUGACGGUACCCGCAGAAGAAGCCCCCGGCUAACUCCGUGCCAGCAGCCGCGGUAAUACGGAGGGGGCUAGCGUUGUUCGGAAUUACUGGGCGUAAAGCGCGCGUAGGCGGAUCUGCAAGUCAGGGGUGAAAUCCCGAGGCUCAACCUCGGAACUGCCCUUGAUACUGCGGGUCUCGAGUCCGAGAGAGGUGAGUGGAAUUCCUAGUGUAGAGGUGAAAUUCGUAGAUAUUAGGAAGAACACCAGUGGCGAAGGCGGCUCACUGGCUCGGUACUGACGCUGAGGCGCGAAAGCGUGGGGAGCAAACAGGAUUAGAUACCCUGGUAGUCCACGCCGUAAACUAUGGGUGCUAGCCGUCGGGGAGCUUGCUCUUCGGUGGCGCAGCAAACGCAUUAAGCACCCCGCCUGGGGAGUACGGUCGCAAGAUUA